UUAGGGAGUGCUUGGACGAUGAUGUAGGAAUAAGUAGCAAAUCAAAUUUAUUUAGCUGCAGGGUAAGUUUAUGGCCCUUCACAAAUCUCUCCUCCAUACUCUGUCUGCUCUUGCGGACCUCCUUUGAGUAACAUUUAUUAGCGGGGCAGCACAGGAUGGCCCUGUAAGCUUCUCAAGAUCUGAUGUCAAAGAGAGAUAGAUGUCCCAAUGCCAACUCUUGGCUUAUCUUCGGAGCCGUAUUUACCCAUGUGACUGACUUUCUGAGUUUGGUUCCGCGUCUGUCUGACAAAUAUGGCGGAUAACCUCUGUGUUAAGAAGAUUAAACCGAAAGCUGUGGUGAAAAGCAAAUGAAUGAUACCUGUGACUACUGCACUCCUCUGUGCCAGGCUGUGAGUUAAGCAACUAAAAAAGGUUACCACCUUAAAUUGCCACGAGAGUUCCAUAACCUAGAUAGUAUUCAUCUUAUUUCCUAACGUGGAAACUGAGGUGCAGAAAAAUGAAGACGUGUGCCCAAGGUCACCGGGCCAGGAAGUGAAGGAACUGACAUGGUUCCCAGCAUGUAUCGGGAAGUAAAGCCCUGACAUAGUGUUUAGCUUCCGAGACAUAGGAUUCUAGAAGUGUUAUGACGUGAUUCUCACUCUGGAAGCAGGAGAUCUUGCUCCAAGGGACCUGAGGCUAUAGGCCACUGUUGUGACGCUCAUGGCCGGUGGGAACAUUGCAGCAAGGGAGGUGAAGGGUGGGCAUGUCAAGGACUCCAGCCAUCUUGAGUCCGACCCAUCCAGUGGGCCUUGUGUAUUCCCACUGCCUCCCGAGCACAGUGGCUUGGGGAGGCGAGGAAAUGGAAUCGAGAGGAAAACGAUACUUGUAAACUCGAUUUUGGUAGGUCAUUUUGUUAUGUUAUCAUUAAGAUGGGAAUCUUUGGCUUGAAAAAGUCAUAAACUGAAAACCUGCUUCAUCUCUGAGUUUUCACAGAUUUCAAGGAUUUGGUCCAAAUCCAGAGCCUCGAGACAAUAAAAAGGCUGCUGAAUGGUUACUGAGGAGAACGGCUGAACUCUCAGUGAGCUACUUCGACGGAGGAACCGAAUCGUUUGUAAUCCACGAGACUGAAGAAGAGCCAUCUGUGGGUUUCAACCUAAAGAGUAGUUGGACUCAGGCCAACCAAAGAUGCCUUUUUGAUGCAGAUUCAAAUGCCUCCAGCAGAUCAAACUGAAAAGUCAUUGAAGAAACAACUUUGUAACAUGGAGGGCAAAGAAUCACCCAAAGAAACAAUUUAGAGGCAAAUGGAGAAUCUUUUCCACAAGUAAUUAAUACCUUUAAAAGCAUGUUUGAAAUAAUUAGUGGAUGAAAUGAUCAGAGCAGAAAACACAUUUUUAUGAAAGAACAAAUUUACAGGUGAAUGUGACCAAUGAAAAUAUUUGAAGUUAAACAAUGAAAGUCAAGUGAUUGAUGCAGCUCUUUUUUGGUGAAUAGUUUGGAGUUCUGCUGACUGGUUAAAAGGAAUGGCCAUCUAUCCCAACUAGUGAGGGAGCAUGUUUUAAUCCACUAAUGUUGCAUAUUGAUCUUGGAAGAUUUGCAAUGUGAUACGUGCGAUAGAUAUUUUUGCAGCUGGUACCAAGUGUAUCCAGUACUAAUAUUUAUUUUAUUAUUCAUUACAUUCUUGUACUUUCCAAUUUUUAGGCAUAAAAUUUGAUAUUUACCCUUGAAAUACUGAAAAAAAAAAUCAAUUUUCCUACCCUUUGGAAGUCUAGGAGAACUCUUUCUCUUUUGGUUGCAUUGUGGAUUGGUUUCUUAUUGCUGUUGUAACAAAUUACAGCAAAUAAACCAUGUCAAUUGAUUAUCUUA